CGAUAUGCUUUGGGGAGCUGUACGUAAGCGUUGAUCCAGAGAUUUCCGAAUGGGGGAACCCACUAUCUUUAGUCGGAUAGUAUCCUUACGUGAAUACAUAGCGUAAGGAAGGCAGACCCAGGGAACUGAAACAUCUAAGUACCUGGAGGAAGAGAAAGAAAAAUCGAUUUCCUGAGUAGCGGCGAGCGAAACGGAAAGAGCCCAAACCAAGAAGCUUGCUUCUUGGGGUUGUAGGACACUCUAUACGGAGUUACAAAAGAAAGUUAUAAAUGAAGCGGUCUGGAAAGGCCCGCCAAAGACGGUAACAGCCCGGUAGUUGAAAUGGCUUUCCCUCCAGAGUGGAUCCUGAGUACGGCGGAACACGUGAAAUUCCGUCGGAAUCCGGGAGGACCAUCUCCCAAGGCUAAAUACUCCCUAGUGACCGAUAGUGAACCAGUACCGUGAGGGAAAGGUGAAAAGCACCCCGGAAGGGGAGUGAAACAGUUCCUGAAACCGUGUGCCUACAAGUAGUUAGAGCCCGUUAAUGGGUGAUAGCGUGCCUUUUGUAGAAUGAACCGGCGAGUUACGAUUUGUUGCAAGGUUAAGCGGAAAAAGCGGAGCCGUAGCGAAAGCGAGUCUGAAUAGGGCGCAUAAGUAACAGGUCGUAGACCCGAAACCAGGUGAUCUACCCAUGUCCAGGAUGAAGGUAAGGUAAUACUUACUGGAGGUCCGAACCCACGCACGUUGAAAAGUGCGGGGAUGAGGUGUGGGUAGCGGAGAAAUUCCAAUCGAACUUGGAGAUAGCUGGUUCUCUCCGAAAUAGCUUUAGGGCUAGCCUCGAGGUAAAGAGUCAUGGAGGUAGAGCACUGUUUGGACUAGGGGCCCUUCUCGGGUUACCGAAUUCAGAUAAACUCCGAAUGCCAUGUACUUAUACUCGGGAGUCAGACUGCGAGUGAUAAGAUCCGUAGUCGAAAGGGAAACAGCCCAGACCACCAGUUAAGGUCCCCAAAUAUAUGUUAAGUGGAAAAGGAUGUGGGGUUGCUUAGACAACCAGGAUGUUGGCUUAGAAGCAGCCACCAUUGAAAGAGUGCGUAAUAGCUCACUGGUCGAGUGACCCCGCGCCGAAAAUGUACCGGGGCUAAACAUAUUACCGAAACUGUGGAUGAACCUCUU
rnacentral:rRNA from 1 species